rnacentral:rRNA from 1 species
UACGUAGGGGGCAAGCGUUGUCCGGAUUUAUUGGGCGUAAAAGGCUUGUAGGUGGCCACGCCAAGUCGGAUGUGAAAUCUCCCGGCUCAACUGGGAGGGGUCAUUCGAUACUGUCGAGCUCGAGUCCGGAAGAGGCGAGUGGAAUUCCUGGUGUAGCGGUGAAAUGCGCAGAUAUCGGGAGGAACACCAGUGGCGAAGGCGGUUGCCUGGGGCUUUGCUGACGCUGAUGCGCGAAAGCGUGGGGAGCGAUCCGG